UGUAUGUUGCGUCUUCUAAAAUCGAUAUUAUUCUAUGGAUUUUCCAGAGUCGUCAAAAAUACAAUAACAAGAACCACAAUAAAUCAGAGUGUCCCUUACGUGAACCGAAAUUUCCAAAGUUGGACAAUUGAAGUGCCCAGGAAGAAAAGAUAAAAGCUAUACGCUGUGUACUGUAUAAGUUGUUACAUAAUGUGCCAUUCAUCGAUGAACAGUACUUAGGUUCAGUGAUUCUAUAUGUGUGUAAAGAAGACUAGGUUGGGUGAUUCUAAAUAUUGGUAUCUCGUGAAAAAACCAGGAAUUGAUGACAACGAAGAAAAUGAUGAUAAAAGUGGGGAGCAAGGUCAAAACAUGCGGUAUUUUGAUUGGCAUAAUUUAAAAGCUCCAAACCAAGACUCUGUUAGCUUAGGCAAACAAGUAUCAAUACUGAACCUAAGUCUAAGUACUACUGUUCAAAUAACAUCCGAUGAAAAAACGUAUGUUCAUCGUCAUGCUAGUGAAGAAUUUGAUCCUAGAUACAUGAAACCGACUGUCAAACAUAGAAGUGGAAUAGAAUGUUUAAUGCUAAAAAAUAGUGGUGAUGACAUGGUAGUAAAUCUUGUAGCUGAUAACUUAACGGAAGGUAUUGUGGGAGUUACUUGAGUAGAAGAGUAUGAUAUAUGAAGGAAUUUUGGUGGAAACGGUGAAAUCCCAGAACUUUAAAAUAGAGAUAGAAAUAGAAAUAGAACUGUAUUGAUUGUAGCUCUUUCAAGGGUACUGAUACAAAUCAGCCAUAUCGUUUUUUAUGAUGAACAUAUCGUAUCAGUAAUAAAUCCGAUAUUUUUUAAACCAGUAGCAACAUCAUUAUUAUUAUACAUGUAUUUAGGUGUCAAACGUUACUUUUGCAUUUAAACGCUUCAUACAGAAGCUUAUUAAUCGACGCAGAGGAAAUAUUAGAUAUUUUUGUGGAUUUUUGACAAUGAUCUCACCGGUUUUUCAAAUUACACAAAAUCCGAGAUAAUAAGUAUAAAGUUGAUCAAAAUUCUCCACCAUUAAAAAAAAUUAUGUUUCACAAUAAUGUUAAGCAAUACGGUACAUUUUUAUUACAUAAAACUAUGGAUUACAUAUCAUUUUAUAAAUAGCAUGAAAAACAGUCAUUCAAUUGAUAGUAACUUGAGAACGUUGUGUUUUAUGGGACGUUUCAAUUAACAGAGGGAAUAUAGAAGAAUUGAAACAAAUUUACGUUUUAAUAUGUGAGGCAACUAAAAGAGUAAGGAAGUUUAACUUACCUAAAAUGAACUAAAAAUCGUUUAGUUUAAACUUUUGGUUAUAUCAAUAAAA